UACGUAGGGUGCAAGCGUUGUCCGGAAUUAUUGGGCGUAAAGAGCUCGUAGGCGGCUUGUCGCGUCGACCGUGAAAACUUGGGGCUCAACCCCAAGCCUGCGGUCGAUACGGGCAGGCUAGAGUUCGGUAGGGGAGACUGGAAUUCCUGGUGUAGCGGUGAAAUGCGUAGAUAUCAGGAGGAACACCGGUGGCGAAGGCGGCCUGCUGGGCAGUAGCUGACACUGAGGCGCGACAGCGUGGGGAGCAAACAGG
rnacentral:rRNA from 1 species